AACGAUAACGGCGUCGAGCGGCGGACGGGUGAGUAAUGCCUAGGAAAUUGCCCUGAUGUGGGGGAUAACCAUUGGAAACGAUGGCUAAUACCGCAUGAUGCCUACGGGCCAAAGAGGGGGACCUUCGGGCCUCUCGCGUCAGGAUAUGCCUAGGUGGGAUUAGCUAGUUGGUGAGGUAAGGGCUCACCAAGGCGACGAUCCCUAGCUGGUCUGAGAGGAUGAUCAGCCACACUGGAACUGAGACACGGUCCAGACUCCUACGGGAGGCAGCAGUGGGGAAUAUUGCACAAUGGGCGCAAGCCUGAUGCAGCCAUGCCGCGUGUGUGAAGAAGGCCUUCGGGUUGUAAAGCACUUUCAGUCGUGAGGAAGGUGGUGUAGUUAAUAGCUGCAUUAUUUGACGUUAGCGACAGAAGAAGCACCGGCUAACUCCGUGCCAGCAGCCGCGGUAAUACGGAGGGUGCGAGCGUUAAUCGGAAUUACUGGGCGUAAAGCGCAUGCAGGUGGUUUGUUAAGUCAGAUGUGAAAGCCCGGGGCUCAACCUCGGAAUAGCAUUUGAAACUGGCAGACUAGAGUACUGUAGAGGGGGGUAGAAUUUCAGGUGUAGCGGUGAAAUGCGUAGAGAUCUGAAGGAAUACCGGUGGCGAAGGCGGCCCCCUGGACAGAUACUGACACUCAGAUGCGAAAGCGUGGGGAGCAAACAGGAUUAGAUACCCUGGUAGUCCACGCCGUAAACGAUGUCUACUUGGAGGUUGUGGCCUUGAGCCGUGGCUUUCGGAGCUAACGCGUUAAGUAGACCGCCUGGGGAGUACGGUCGCAAGAUUAAAACUCAAAUGAAUUGACGGGGGCCCGCACAAGCGGUGGAGCAUGUGGUUUAAUUCGAUGCAACGCGAAGAACCUUACCUACUCUUGACAUCCAGAGAACUUUCCAGAGAUGGAUUGGUGCCUUCGGGAACUCUGAGACAGGUGCUGCAUGGCUGUCGUCAGCUCGUGUUGUGAAAUGUUGGGUUAAGUCCCGCAACGAGCGCAACCCUUAUCCUUGUUUGCCAGCGAGUAAUGUCGGGAACUCCAGGGAGACUGCCGGUGAUAAACCGGAGGAAGGUGGGGACGACGUCAAGUCAUCAUGGCCCUUACGAGUAGGGCUACACACGUGCUACAAUGGCGCAUACAGAGGGCGGCCAACUUGCGAAAGUGAGCGAAUCCCAAAAAGUGCGUCGUAGUCCGGAUUGGAGUCUGCAACUCGACUCCAUGAAGUCGGAAUCGCUAGUAAUCGUGGAUCAGAAUGCCACGGUGAAUACGUUCCCGGGCCUUGUACACACCGCCCGUCACACC
rnacentral:rRNA from 1 species